GCUUCUUAUUAAUAGUAAUAAAAUGUUCAUUCAUUAACUCUCUCAUGCCUGCAUACCAGCUAUAGUAACUGUCUUUGCCCCCAAGUUAUGCAGUCUUUAUAAAGUCGUUCAGUAGCAGGGCAAUGAGUUGGGAAAACUGAUAUUGCAUCUGUAGCAUCAGAAAAGUUCAGAAGGACUGAGCUAGUUUGCGAAACCACAGCACACUUUGGCAAAGAGGGAAUGCACAACAAAACGGAAAUGAGGUCUUACUGUGUUGCCCAGGCUGGUAUCAAACUCCAGUGAUCAAGUGGUCCUCCUACCUCAGCCUCCCAAACAGAUAUGACAGCUGCAUAGAUUCAACCUACUAUGAAAAGCCAAAACAUGGAAUAUUACACUAAUUAAACGGUUACACAACAGAACAUGGAAUGUGCGACACUUCAUCUUGGGAUGCAAAUUUUUGUGCUAAAAAAAACUGAGAAAAACAAAAAGAAAAACAUGUAUUUCUGAGGAACUUGUUUUUAUAUCUGGCAUAAAUGAGAAAAAGCUAAUUAAAACUAUUAAUUAUCAGAAAAUUGAAGAUAAAGUUGAAGAGCCUAUACCAACCAAAGUUGAAUAAAUGGCAAAAUAUAAUAUAGAUGAGUUACUCU
rnacentral:lncRNA from 1 species